GAUGAACGCUAGCGGGAGGCCUAACACUUGCAAGUCGAGGGGCAGCAUGGGGUAGCAAUACCCUGAUGGCGACCGGCAGACGGGUGAGUAACGCGUAUGUAACCUACCCUGUACAGGGGGAUAACCCGGAGAAAUUCGGACUAAUAUCCCAUAGAAAUAUUGAAGGGCAUCUUUUGAUAUUUAAAGUUCCGACGGUACGGGAUGGGCAUGCGUAACAUUAGCUAGUUGGUAAGGUAACGGCUUACCAAGGCUUUGAUGUUUAGGGGCCCUGAGAGGGUGGUCCCCCACACUGGUACUGAGACACGGACCAGACUCCUACGGGAGGCAGCAGUGAGGAAUAUUGGUCAAUGGGCGCAAGCCUGAACCAGCCAUCCCGCGUGCAGGAAGACGGCGCUAUGCGUUGUAAACUGCUUUUCCAGGGGGAGAAACUUGCGCACGUGUUGCGCAAUUGACGGUACCCUGGGAAUAAGCAUCGGCUAACUCCGUGCCAGCCGCCGCCGUAACAC
rnacentral:rRNA from 1 species